UACGUAUGAGGCAAGCGUUGUUCGGAAUUAUUGGGCAUAAAGGGCAUCUAGGCGGGAAGUUAAGUUAGAUGUGAAAUUCAUAGGCUCAACCUAUGACCUGCAUUUAAAACUGACUUUCUUGAGUUCGGAAGGGGAGAGCGGAAUUCCUGGUGUAGCGGUGAAAUGCGUAGAUAUCAGGAAGAACACCAGUGGCGAAAGCGGCUCUCUGGUCUAGAACUGACGCUGAAGUGCGAAAGCGUGGGUAGCGAACGGG
rnacentral:rRNA from 1 species